GGUUGUUGUUGGAAUGGGGCAACAGCAGUGGGACCGAAAACUGACAUAAAGACAUCUUGAGGGUCAUUUCCUGCUGCAAGAAGCUGUCAGCACAAAGAAAUAGACCUACUAUCAGAUCAAGAGGAUGAACUGUGUUUGCUGAUCCACAUGCCGUGUAAAUGUCCAGGAUGUCAAGACUGUCUUCAUGUUCUUCAUGGCUGCUUAAUAUCGGAGUGCAGUACCUGCAUCCAGCAUUGAUUUGGAACAAUUUUUUGAGGAAAUAAAAUGG